ACGGGAUUUUGGAUCAUUUUAGAUGUUUUUCUUCUUUCCUCUUCCUUCCUCUCUUCCAUGUCCGAAACCCUAGCCCCCAAACCCUUGAAUUCCUUUACUUUGAUCACGAUCCACCAUGGUUUUUGGCAUCAAGGAUGAAGAACAAGGGAGGAUUAAUGUUUUUACCCGAUUGGAACUUGGAUUUGCGAAGGCUUCUUUCCAAGCUCACUCUUUUGCUUGAUUAUUGAGGACACGCUUCGGGAGGAAUAAAUGCUCCACCAAUGCACUGUGAGUAAUAGUACGAAGAUGUACAUUUUAUUUAUUAUUGAUGAUUAUUAUCACUAACGCUCUGUUUCUUGUAAGUGUUACACGAACAUGUUACAUGAACAAUUAUGAUGAGUGAAAGUCAAUGUGAACGUUGAAAGAUUGGCAUAUAUCGGCACUCAACCUGGAGAUCAACCUUCACUCGUG